AUCCACCUGGGGAGUACGUCAGCAAUGAUGAAACUCAAAGGAAUUGACGGGGGCCCGCGCAAGCGGAGGAACAUGUGGUUUAAUUCGAUGAUACGCGAGGAACCUUACCUGGGCUUAAAUGUAGAGUGCAUAGAGUGGAAACAUUCUUUUCCUUCGGGACUCUUUACAAGGUGCUGCAUGGUUGUCGUCAGCUCGUGCCGUGAGGUGUCGGGUUAAGUCCCAUAACGAGCGCAACCCUCAUCGCCAGUUGCCAUCACAUCAUGGUGGGGACUCUGGUGAAACUGCCGGUGCAAACCGCGAGGAAGGUGAGGAUGACGUCAAAUCAGCACGGCCCUUAUGUCCAGGGCUACACACGUGUUACAAUGGUCGGUACAACGGGCAGCUACACAGCGAUGUGGUGCUAAUCCUAAAAACCGAUCUUAGUUCGGAUCGGAGUCUGCAACUCGACUCCGUGAAGCUGGAUUCGCUAGUAAUCGCACAUCAGCCAUGGUGCGGUGAAUACGUUCCCGGGCCUUGUACACUCC
rnacentral:rRNA from 1 species